CCUACGGGAGGCAGCAGUGGGGGAUAUUGCACAAUGGGGGAAACCCUGAUGCAGCGACGCCGCGUGUGGGAAGACGGUCCUCUGGAUUGUAAACCACUGUCCCCAGGGACGAAGAUGACGGUACCUGGGGAGGAAGCUCCGGCUAACUACGUGCCAGCAGCCGCGGUAAUACGUAGGGAGCGAGCGUUGUCCGGAAUUACGGGGUGAAAAGGGAGCGUAGGCGGGACUGCAAGUUGGGUGUAAAAUCUACCGGCUCAACCGGUAGCCGCACUCAAAACUGCAGUGCUUGAGUGAAGUAGAGGCAGGCGGAAUUCCUAGUGUAGCGGUGAAAUGCGUAGAUAUUAGGAGGAACACCAGUGGCGAAGGCGGCCUGCUGGGCUUUUACUGACGCUGAGGCUCGAAAGUGUGGGGAGCAAACAGGAUUAGAUACCCCAGUAGUC
rnacentral:rRNA from 1 species